UGGGGAGUGGUUUGUUAUGUCACUAGGGUGAGGAAAUUUGCAGAAGUUCUUGAAGAGUGGGAGCGGGAUUACUCACCUCAGAGGUUCAAAUUUAAAGAUUUGUACAAGGCCACUAAAGGGUUUAGAGAUAAGGAGAUGCUGGGUAGAGGAGGAUUUGGAAAAGUAUACAAAGGUGUGAUGCCUAGGUCUAAAUCUGAGAUUGCUGUUAAGAGGGUGUCUCAUGAAUCAAGACAGGGGAUGAAAGAAUUUGUGGCAGAAAUUGCAAGCAUGGGUCGACUACGCCAUCGGAAUUUGGUGCCUCUAUUGGGAUACUGUCGGCGUAAAAGUGAACUUCUGUUAGUCUAUGAAUACAUGCCGAAUGGAAGCCUAGACAAGUUUAUCCAUGACCAGCCUAAGUUUACUCUCAGUUGGGACCAAAGAUUUCGAGUCAUCAAAAGUGUAGCAUCUGGAUUACUUUACCUACACGAAGAAUGGGAGCAAGUCGUGAUCCACCGAGAUAUAAAGGCGAGUAACGUUUUAUUAGACGGGGAAAUGAAUGGAAGAUUAGGUGAUUUUGGGCUUGCAAGAUUGUAUGAUCGUGGGGCAGACCAUCAGACGACUCAUGUGGUUGGGACACUAGGGUACCUUGCCCCAGAGCAAAAUAGAACAGGAAAGGCCACAACAAGCACUGAUGUUUAUGCUUUUGGGGCAUUUUUGCUUGAGGUUGCCUGCGGGAGAAGGCCAAUAGAUCCCAAAGCUGCCUCUAAUGAUCUAAUAUUGGUAGAUCAAGUGUUUUCCUACUGGAACGAAGGUGACAUUUUCCAGGCAGUCGAUCCAAAUUUAUGUAAUGAUUACGUAAAAGAGGAGAUGGAAACAGUGUUGAAGCUUGGUUUGCUAUGUUCUCAUUCAGAGCCAAAAUUUAGGCCUAGCAUGCGUCAAGUUAUGUUGUAUCUGGAAGGCGCAUUGGCUCCGCCAGAAUUGUCUGCAAGUGGCCUAAAAUUGACACAACAUAAUGGAGGGUGUGAUGGUGUCCCCUUGUGGUCGUAUCCUUCUUCUACUACUUCUCAAACGGUAUUUACACAAGCUUCCUCGGUUUCAAAUUUUCUCCUAUCUGGAGGCCGAUGAAAAUAUUAUGCGUUAUAAUACUGUGAUAAGUUCACUUGUGUAGAGGGUAUUUUCUUCCUCAUACUGUAUUUGGUUUCUUGCUGCUCCUUGUAUCAGUAAUUUCCAUGGGUUCUUGAAAUGUCAUCUCUACAUCGCUCUUAUCUAAAUUCGAAAAUUGGGAGCGGGAUUACUCACCUCAGAGGUUCAAAUUUAAAGAUUUGUACAAGGCCACUAAAGGGUUUAGAGAUAAGGAGAUGCUGGGUAGAGGAGGAUUUGGAAAAGUAUACAAAGGUGUGAUGCCUAGGUCUAAAUCUGAGAUUGCUGUUAAGAGGGUGUCUCAUGAA
rnacentral:lncRNA from 1 species